rnacentral:tRNA from 1 species
AAUUCUAUAUUCAAUAAUGAUUCCAGAUUGCAAAUUUGGAGGAGGUGUAAACCUAGAAUUU